rnacentral:rRNA from 1 species
UACGUAGGGGGCAAGCGUUGUCCGGAUUUAUUGGGCGUAAAGAGCGUGUAGGCGGCUAUACAGGUCCGCUGUGAAAACUCGAGGCUCAACCUCGAGACGUCGGUGGAAACCGUAUGGCUAGAGUCCGGAAGAGGAGAGUGGAAUUCCUGGUGCAGCGGUGAAAUGCGCAGAUAUCAGGAAGAACACCCGUGGCGAAGGCGGCUCUCUGGGACGGUACUGACGCUGAGACGCGAAAGCGUGGGGAGCGAACAGG